rnacentral:lncRNA from 1 species
AGUCUUGCAAAUUUUCCCUUUGCCAGCAUUCUUCGAAUGUUAAGAGAUUUCCUCUCAACUUUGUCUUUGCUGACCCCUGUCAGGACGGGGUCCUGGGCCAUUUGAUGGAAUGGAGUAGGAGCCCAUAGAUGAGAUGUUGUUGGUUUGGGCCUAACAUGCAUAAAAUCCAACAUAAUUCACCAUCCUGAAGAUUAGUUCCCUUCUGGAGACCAACUCCUCUAGGACUCAAGGAAAACAUGUCCUCCUAAUGAUGUGACUUUGAUUCAAUCUGUCUGAUAAUAACCUUGGCCUUAUUAUGCCAAAAGGAAGCACAGUUCUCUCUUGCCUGGAUUUUAUUACAAAAUUUGCUCACAUUGAUUGCAUUUGGUUCUGCCUGCCUUGUGGAGAAACAGCACCAGGCCCUAUCUAAGCUUGUUUCCUAACCUGUAAAACAGAGUUCAUCAAACUUGCCUCUCAGAUCUGUAGGCCAAUUAAAUGUGUUUACAUAUGUGAAGGACCUCCUUCAAUGCCCAGCAAAGCUAAAUUCUAAAUGUUUCUCUUCCGUCUCUUUCCUUCGUGUUUCUAAUAAGCCGUUUAACUUGCCGGUUCUGCAUCCUACGUUUUCCGCAGAUCUGCCCCUUCCCUUCCGCAAACCAAUCGGAGCUACUGUGGUUCAGGGCCUGAUCAUUUCUCACACCAUUGCAAUAGCCACCUCCUCUUCUACCUGUCACUCCUUUAUCUGUUUUCAGGGUGAUCUGUCUCUUUUUGUUGUUUAGUUGCCUUUUAUUGUUAAGAAGGUAAGUUUAUAUUGUUCGUCUUAUUUAUUAAAGAAAGUAAACUUAAAAAUGGUUGGGUUGAGGGGCCGGCCCGGUGGCACAGUGGUUAAGUGUGCAUGUUCUGCUUUGGUGGCCCGGGCUUCACCGGUUCUUAUCCCGGAUGUGGACAUGGCACCGCUUGGCGUGCCAUGCUGUGGCAGGCAUCCCGCAUAUAAAGCAGAGAAAGAUGGGCAUGGAUGUGAGCUCAGGGCCAGUCUUCCUCAGCGAAAAGAGGAGGAUUGGCAGCAGUUAGCUCAGGGCUAAUCUUCCUCAAAAAAGAAAAAAAAAUGGUUGGGUUGAUUUCCCCCAGAUUCCAGAGGUUUGUUCGGAGUGAUCUGACUUAAAAUAUG